rnacentral:RNase_P_RNA from 2 species
GCAAGCUAAAGACAGUUGCUGGUUAUUUUUAACUAAGGAAACUCCAUCCAUCACACAGAACUAUAAUGUUGAAAGACAUAUGCUGAGAAGUAUGACUCUGGAGCAGAAACGACACGUCUUUUAAUGAAUGAAUAUGAUAGUUUAAUCUUGAUUGACAUUAAAAGGAACGGUGAAACGGCCAUUCUAUAGGGUGCAAGGACAAGUUUGCUUUUGAUCCUCUGUGGUAGGCAAGGUAGUCCGCGUAGAUGAAUACUGUAGAAACAGAAGGUGGGUUAUUCUUAGCAUGC